rnacentral:lncRNA from 1 species
GUGGGGGGCUCUGGAGGGAGUCUAGGGCCAGUGUGGGUCUGUGGGGUGCUAUAAGGGGAGAUUGGGCUUUAGGGGCUGGGGGACUGUAGGGAGGGUCUUAGGGCUGUAGAGGGGACAUGGGGUGCUAUGUGGCUGUAGGGAGCAGGGGAAUAUUAUGACGCUGUAGGGGGCUAUUGGGAAAGCUAUAUGGUUCUAUGGGGAGGCUAUAGGAGCUUUAUAGGUGGUUAUGGGGCUUUAGGGAGCUGUGGGUGGUCUGUAGGAGGGUUCUAGUAGGGUAGGAGGCUAUAGGGGGCUGUGGAGGGGAUAUAGGGAGAUAUGGGGCAGUAGUGAAUUUUUAGGGGGUUGUGGCGGGCUGUGGGAGGGUAUAGGAUGAUAGGGGGCCGGGGAGGGUCUGUAGAGAGGGAUGUUAUGCUGGAGAAGGUAUGGGAGGCUAAAAUGGGCCUUUGGGGGUUACAGAGGGGCUGUGGUGGGCUAUUUGGGGAUAUAGGGAGAUAUAAGGCUAUAGGGGGUGUUUGGAGGAUGUGGUCCUCUAAGGGGCUGUGUGGGUCCAUAGGAUGAUCUGGAGCUAUAGGGUGAUCUCUAAAGGGAUGUGGGGCUAGAAGGCUCUCCCUUCCUUCCUUUCCCCACUUCCACAGCAGGGAGGGUGAAAUGCUAGUCAUGAAAUUGAAAUUGGAACUGAAGUUGUCUUGGAAUAGAAUAUGAUGCUUUUGUGGUCUUCAAUCUGAAACGUGUUUUCUCCUUGGGCUUGAGGUAAUCUGUUUAUGUUUAAUGAUUAUG